rnacentral:rRNA from 1 species
AUACGGAGGAUCCGAGCGUUAUCCGGAUUUAUUGGGUUUAAAGGGUGCGCAGGCGGCCAUUUAAGUCAGCGGUUAAAUCGUGGGGCUCAGCCCCAUUCUGCCGUUGAUACUGGGUGGCUUGAUUGCGGUCGAGGCUGGCGGAAUUCGUUGUGUAGCGGUGAAAUGCAUAGAUAUGACGAAGAACACCGAUUGCGUAGGCAGCUGACCAGACCGCAAAUGACGCUCAUGCACGAAAGUGCGGGGAUCGAACAGGAUUAGAUACCCUGGUAGUCCGCACAGUAAACGAUGAAUACUUGUUUUCGGCGAUAUAAUGUCGGAGGCAAAGCGAAAGCGAUAAGUAUUCCACCUGGGGAGUACGCCGGCAACGGUGAAACUCAAAGGAAUUGACGGGG